GAUGAACGCUGGCGGCGUGCCUAAUACAUGCAAGUCGAGCGAACGGACGAGAAGCUUGCUCCUCUGAUGUUAGCGGCUGACGGGUGAGUAACACGUGGAUAACCUACCUAUAAGACUGGGAUAACUUCGGGAAACCGGAGCUAAUACCGGAUAAUAUUUUGUACCGCAUGGUUCAAAAGUGAAAGACGGUCUUGCUGUCACAUAUAGCUGGAUCCGCGCUGCAUUAGCUAGUUGGUAAGGUAACGGCUUACCAAGGCAACGAUGCAUAGCCGACCUGAGAGGGUGAUCGGCCACACUGGAACUGAGACACGGUCCAGACUCCUACGGGAGGCAGCAGUAGGGAAUCUUCCGCAAUGGGCGAAAGCCUGACGGAGCAACGCCGCGUGAGUGAUGAAGGUCUUCGGAUCGUAAAACUCUGUUAUUAGGGAAGAACAUAUGUGUAAGUAACUGUGCACAUCUUGACGGUACCUAAUCAGAAAGCCACGGCUAACUACGUG
rnacentral:rRNA from 1 species